rnacentral:lncRNA from 1 species
AGACCCCGGGCGCACCCGCAUGGCCUGCUACUCAGCAUCCUGCCCCUCUGCAGGCUCACGGGGAGUCCACUCCAAGCCUGGGUGGAGUGGAACAGCGGCUGAGCCCAUUUGCCUUGACUCGCGGUAGGAUGUUCAGACAGGAGCAGGUCAGGCGGAUGACUGGGAGACUGGACGACCUGGAAUGGGAUACAGGAAAAAGGAAUGAGCCCCUGCCAUGUGCCAGGCCUGUGCUUAAUGCUUCACCGCAGUCCUCCUGCUGAAUCCUCCCGUUUGACAGAUGAGGACCUGGAGGCGGAGGGACCGUGAGCAAUCUGCCGAAGCCACAUGUCACGUCAGUAGCAGAGCAGGAUGGUCACCUCAUCUGUCAGAAGCCUCAUGAUGGGCUUGGCCCAGAAAAGCACCAGCUCAGGGCCUUAGGAAGUCAGGGAGGGCUCCAGGUGUAAUGGGUUCAUGUCUGCACAGAGACUGGACGGGGUGGUCAGUCAUGAACCCCUGAAAUGCCUACGGCAUGAAGGGAACGACAAUAGGCUGAAAUGAGACUUUGUCCCAUUUGGGACCUCAGGAAGCUGACUCUGAGAUUUGCCUCCUGAAGUUUAUUGAGGUACUCCCAGGAUCAACAUCUGUGAAGGAAGAGAAAGAGGCAGGAUGAGGCAGAGAGAUGCUGAGCUGCAAGGCAGUCUCCACGAGGCCUCCGACAACCCCAGGGCAAGUCUGAAGUGGAAAGAGCCCUCAGAGGGCGGGGCUUUUGUACCCCUGCCCCAUUGCCCACUGGACACAGCUGUCCUGGGGAAGGGGCAUGAACUCGGGAAAGUGGCUGUUUUGAGCUGAAGGCAAAUCACAGAGAGGAAUUCAGUUGAGAGCUGUGGGCAGCCAACACUCGGUAUAGCCAAGAGCAUGAAGGCCUGAGCUGUCGGGGGACUCUGGGACACUGUUCAGCUGUACAAAAAUACCUCCACCAAUAGGCCAAGAUGGGAGGUGUGGAACAAGACCCAAACCAGGGUCCUUUAACGGAAUCUUUGGUGGAGAGAUACAUGGUUUUCCACAUAUUAAUAUUUCUGAAAUUGAGAUGCAUUUUGCAAUUCAGGUCAAAGUAGGC